rnacentral:rRNA from 1 species
GAAACGCUGGCGGCGUGCCUAAUACAUGCAAGUCGAGCGAGCGGAACUAACAGAUUUACUUCGGUAAUGACGUUAGGAAAGCGAGCGGCGGAUGGGUGAGUAACACGUGGGGAACCUGCCCAUAGUCUGGGGAUACCACUUGGAAACAGGUGCUAAUACCGGAUAAGAAAGCAGAUCGCAUGAUCAGCUUUUAAAAGGCGGCGUAAGCUGUCGCUAUGGGAUGGCCCCGCGGUGCAUUAGCUAGUUGGUAAGGUAAAGGCUUACCAAGGCGGUGAUGCAUAGCCGAGUUGAGAGACUGAUCGGCCACAUUGGGACUGAGACACGGCCCAAACUCCUACGGGGAGGCAGCAGUAGGGAAUCUUCCACAAUGGACGCAAGUCUGAUGGAGCAACGCCGCGUGAGUGAUGAAGGUUUUUCGGA